GCCACGUGUUACGAUCUCAAGUUGUCACCCUGUGAACCUGAGUCACAGGAUCACACAUCUCUCACUUCUCCACUUCGCCUUCUCUUCUCUGAAUCGCCACCGUCUUUCUUUUGUUCAUCGCCACCGUGACUUCGCCGUCGUGUUUGUGUUUCUUCUCUGUAUCGCCUUCGCCGUCGUGUUCGUGUUUCUUCUCUGUAUCGCCACCGUGACUUCGCCGUCGUGUUUGUUCUGUGUAUCGUCUUCUCCAUCACUCAAAAGCUGCGAUUGAAUUCUCAAAAUUGGAGAUUCAAUUUGCGCCUAACUCUAACGAUAUUCUAAUUUCAUCUUGGGAUUAUAGUAUGCAGCAAAGUACAAGACCUUGAUCUACCUUAUUGAUUUAGCAUCUGCUGAGAUUAUUGCUGACAUGCCCAGCGUGAAUCGAUUAUUCAGAUAACCACUGGGUCAAGAGAGCUUGACAAGAUAUUGGAAGUUAAAUCUUACAUGGAUAAUGAAUUAAGUCCUACCAUUGAUGAUGGAACAAGUUUGCAGUUGCUCCCAACAGAAGAAACUGACAUUCUAGCUAAUCUGCGAGAAUCAUCAGAUCCCGUGUAAGAAGGGAUACAAUGUUGUGAUUAUUGAUGAGUGCCACAUCUUUCUGAUAGAACAACUGAUGAGAAUCUCACCAAAUAUUAAACCUUGUGUAAGAGAAGAUGCAUUGAAGCUAACACUUGAUUUGAAAGCUAACAUGAAAGAAAAUACUGAAAAUUCUUUGAUGGUUCUCGGUUUUCUAAUGCUUUUGUCGAUUUAUGGAUUGGUUACUUAUUUCAAUGAAGAUGAAGUCUGUUUGGAGCUUUUUGCAUUUGUUGCUCAGCACAAAAUAGCGGUGAAGCUGUUUGAGGCCCUUGGUUUUGCAAAUAAACUUUCAGAUUUUGUCGAGAAACUUAUCAAGAGGAAGCAAUUUGUUGUGCAUAUUAAUUGGCUGAGAAGAAUCAACAAAUUUUUGUGCUAGAAAUGCGGUAAUGGAAACCUACUAACAUAUACACUAUUAUUGUUCGGGUAUAUAUUCACGUGUAAAUGAUUUCGACAGGACUCUCAGUUUCGUAGUCUUAGUUAAUUCAAAUGAGGCUUGUACCAUCCUUGAAUCUAACUAAUAAGUCACAAUAGUUACAUUUGGUCUGCAUCUCAGUACCAGCUUGUGCAAUAAAGUGAUUACAUACA